AUGAAGAGCAGCACGCUGGUGGCGAUCCUAAUCCUCCACACCAUGACGGUCAUGGGAAUCCUCUCACACUCUCAGGCCGUCGACGUCGAUUUCCCCAAGUGCUGCGACAACUGCAGCACCUGGUCGGGGGGCAUGUUCUGCGACGAAGUCGGCCCCAAGUGCCGCAACGGCUGCGCGAACUGCCACGUGGUGCAGACGACCCCCGUGAAGACGUUCCGGUGCGGAGAUGCACGCGCCGCCCACUUAGGGCAUCUCCAGCCGCGCCCCCAAAAAAGCCUUUCCAGACGUUUUUUUUGCGCCGACGCCGAAAAAUCGGCCCAGUCGCGCCCUCAGGAGCCUGAUUUUCGCCGGCUUGGGCCGAAAACAGCGCCGGCGGACUCAGGCCGAACCCGGCGCGCUGGGGGGCGCCCGGGGGCGCCGGGGCGAACUGUUUUGGCGCGAAACAGCCGCGGGCCCGCCGCGUCAGCGACUCUACCCUCUUCUCGGUCCUUCGUCGUCCUCAUCGCCUCGUUUCCCGCGGCGAAUCAAUGCCAAAGCUGCCGCGCUGCCGCGCCGGUCAGCCUGCGCCAUUGA
rnacentral:rRNA from 1 species